UGAUAGGAUAGAAAGAUAGGGACAGGUGACACACAUAGAGGGAGAGAGUAAGAUGAUAGGAUAGACAGAUAGGGACAGGUGACACACAGAGGGAGAGAGUAAGAUGAUAGGAUAGACAGAUAGGGACAGGUGACACACAUAGAGGGAGAGAGUAAGAUGAUAGGAUAGAAAGAUAGGGACAGGUGACACACAUAGAGGGAGAGAGUAAGAUGAUAGGAUAGAAAGAUAGGGACAGGUGACACACAUAGAGGGAGAGAGUAAGAUGAUAGGAUAGAAAGAUAGGGACAGGUGACACACAUAGAGGGAGAGAGUAAGAUGAUAGGAUAGAAAGAUAGGGACAGGUGACACACAUAGAGGGAGAGAGUAAGAUGAUAGGAUAGAAAGAUAGGGACAGGUGACACACAUAGAGGGAGAGAGUAAGAUGAUAGGAUAGAAAGAUAAGGACAGGUGACACACAGGGAGAGAGAGUAAGAUGAUAGGAUA